rnacentral:rRNA from 1 species
GACGGAGGAGGCAAGCGUUAUCCGGAAUGAUUGGGCGUAAAGCGUCCGCAGGUGGCUGUGUAAGUCUGCUGUUAAAGAGUGAGGCUCAACCUCAUAAAAGCAGUGGAAACUACACAGCUAGAGUGCGUUCGGGGCAGAGGGAAUUCCUGGUGUAGCGGUGAAAUGCGUAGAGAUCAGGAAGAACACCGGUGGCGAAGGCGCUCUGCUAGGCCGCAACUGACACUGAGGGACGAAAGCUAGGGGAGCGAAUGGG